rnacentral:rRNA from 1 species
GACGAACGCUGGCGGCGUGCUUAACACAUGCAAGUCGAACGGAAAGGCCCCUUUGGGGGUACUCGAGUGGCGAACGGGUGAGUAACACGUGAGUAACCUGCCCUUGACUUCGGGAUAACUUCAGGAAACUGGGGCUAAUACCGGAUAGGAAUCCUUGCUGCAUGGUGGGGGUUGGAAAGCUUCGGCGGUUUUGGAUGGACUCGCGGCUUAUCAGCUUGUUGGUGGGGUAGUGGCUUACCAAGGCUUUGACGGGUAGCCGGCCUGAGAGGGCGACCGGCCAAAUUGGGACUGAAAUACGGCCCAGACCCCUCCGGGAGGCAGAAGUGGGAAUAUUGCACAAUGGGCGGAAGCCUGAUGCAGCAACGCCGCGUGCGGGAUGACGGCCUUCGGGUUGUAAACCGCUUUCAGCAGGGGCGAAGCUUGUGGUGACGGUACCUGCAGAAGAAGCACCGGCUAACUACGUG